rnacentral:rRNA from 1 species
UACGGGGGGAGCAAGCGUUGUUCGGAUUUACUGGGCGUAAAGGGCGCGUAGGCGGCCAGCACAAGUCAGUUGUGAAAUCUCCGAGCUUAACUCGGAAAGGUCAACUGAUACUGUGCGGCUAGAGUGCGGAAGGGGCAACUGGAAUUCUUGGUGUAGCGGUGAAAUGCGUAGAUAUCAAGAGGAACACCUGCGGCGAAGGCGGGUUGCUGGGCCGACACUGACGCUGAUGCGCGAAAGCUAGGGGAGCAAACGGG